rnacentral:tRNA from 1 species
GCCUGCAUGGUAUAUUGGUUUGAACGUUGGACUACAACUCUGAAGACCAGGGUUCAAAUCCCUGCUCAGCCA